UGGCGCCUGUUUUCUGUUACUGGCCAGAUCUGAUUCUAGGAGGGAAGGCUGGACGCGGCUUAACUUCCCCCUAGCUGGUGUCUGGUGGAGACGCCCCCAGCACCGUCUGGGUCUCCGGACCAUCCGGGUCUUCGGACCGUCUGGGUUGGGCUUGAUCACCCCAACCAUUUGUUCUACGUUCAGUGCUCUGUGUGCCCUGUUAAACGUUUCCUGUUAGCCUAUCAUUAUCUCUGGUGUGACCCACUCUUUAACCUCCGUCAUGGGUCAGUCUUUGUCCGAGCCUUGCUCCCCCUUAAAUGCAUGCUAAAUAACUUCUCUGGUUUCAGAAAAAGAGGAAGGAACUAUGGCUGUAACCUAAAGCCAUCCUGGCUGCGGACAUAUUGCCAACUGGACUGGCUGACAUUCUCUGGGGUUGACUGGCCCCCAGAGGGCUCCUAGAAUCUUAACCUUGCUUAUGCUGUCCGUAGGAUUUGUCAUGAUGUUCAUCCCCACCAGGAGCCAUAUGCUGUGACUUGGGUCGACCUCCUAGAAGACCCACUGUUCUGGCUGAGAGAGUGCCAGAAACAGGGCCAAAAGCUGUCAUCUGGCAUCUCCCUUUCCCACUCCCCUUCCUGUUCUCCAAACUCCAAACCCUUGCUUCCCAUCACUCAGCCUUCAAAGAGGCUUUACCCGGUGCUUCAGGAGAUACCCAAGGGAGGGACUUGUUAUCUGAUCCUUAGAGACCACCUCCUUAUCCCCAGACUCCACUAGCUCCCCAGGAACCAAAAGCCGCAGGUGACCCUUUGACUAGCCCCCCACACACCAGAUCAGGAGCCCUCGGUAGAGGAUCAGGAGCCCUCUGUAGAGGAGAACACCAGUCUUCUGAUGCCCCAGUUCCCAUCCUUCCUCUUAGGCAAAUGGCUCCGGCUCCCGGUCCAGACGGGCAGCCAACACACCCGAAGCUUGUCUACACUCCUUUCUCCACCACGGACCUCUGUAACUGGAAAACUCAGAACCCGCCUUUCUCUGAAAACCCCCAGGGCCUAAUUGACUUAUUGAGCUCCAUUUUCACCACUCACUUACCUACUUGGGAAGACUGUCACCAACUCUUGCAGGUCUUACCGACUUCCGAGGAAAGGGCCCGAGUGCCCCGGGAAGCCACGAGAGCGGUCCUCGGCCCGGAUGGAGUGCCUCCCACAGACCUUCGCAGAAUUGAGCACGUUUUCCCUUCCGCACCGCCCCAGUGGGACCCUAACACGGAUAACGUCCUUGCAGGCUCUACAAAGUACACUUCCAGCCAUCCAUAACCUAGUAAAAGAAAGCUGGAAAGAACCGCCCUCUACAGUGGAACCAUCAGACCAAGGACUCGGACCUGGAGAUUGGAUCUGGGUGCAACGUCACACCUCCCCAAAUUUAGAGGCACGCUGGGUUGGGCCCUAUCCGAUCAUCCUGUCCACCCCAUCCGCUGUGACAGUUGCUGGCCGGAGCCACAGGAUGCAUCGCUCUCAAAUUAAAGCGGCACACCCUGACCACGUUCCUCUACAAUGGACUGUCAAACGGACUGAAAAUCCUUUGGAGGUCCGGCUGGUAAGAGAAUCUGCUGGGUAAUUUUGUUCUUAAUUUCCCUGGCUGGAGGGACAUUUUCUGACCACGCCCCUGUCCAGUACCGUUGGAUAGUUAGCAAAACCACUACGGGACAGGUUUUAGCAAAUUCUACCUCUUACGCUUCCCCUGCCUUGACCUUUAAUCUGUGUCUUCUGUUCCCCAUUGAGUGGAAAUAACAACCAUGAUAUCAAGGUGCUACCGGAGUUUUGCCUUACCAGAGAACCCCAGACUGCCUAAGUUUCAAAGGAGUACAGUUUUAUGCUUGUCCCUCUGAUACGCCCCCUGGCUGUCAAGGACGAGGCCAGUUUCACUGUGCCUCAUGGGGUUGUGAAACCAUAGCUGACUGGGUUACUGAAAAGGAUCAGUAUACUGUCUAUAAGAGCAGUAUCUAUGACCAAGAGCCAAUGCCUAGUCACUGUCAUCAUUAGAAAUGGUUUAGAUCCCCGAUGGAAUAGGGGGAGAACAUGGGGAUUGAGAUUAUACGUUUCUGGUCUUGAUCCUGGCACUGAGUUUACCAUUCAGAGGUUUAGAGUCACCCCUAGAGCACCCAUUGGGCCCAAUCCUGUAAUUAACCCUCUCCCUGACCCUGGAAAACUGCCCCCCCAGGCCUCUAGCCCGGUCAUCAGCUAAGUCUACGACCCGUUCACCCACCACUACUGCCCUUAUGUUGACUCCUUCCCCCGCUAGGAACAAACCUGAAGUAAGAGAGACAGAUACCUUUAAAGCCUUGUACUAUACCUUUAAGUUUUUAAAUGCCACCAACCCUAACAUCACUUGGGAUUGUUGGCUAUGUUUGAAUCCUAGGCCCCCCUACUACAUAGGAAUAGGUGCUCCGGUCCCUUUGAGAACGAGGGAAGACCAAAUCAGGAAUUUGAGCCAUGGCCAGAUAGAGGGUCAUUGUACCUGGGGGCAGAACCCAAGUCUCACCUUAGGAGAUCUAGAAGGAAUGGGGACUUGUUUCUAUGCUGGAAAUUACCAGAUAAAACGGUCCAGGUAUUUGGCUUAUUGUAACAGUACCAUCUACUUGCCAAAUAAUACUUAUGUGGGGGGUACCCUUUACUUCCUUGUACCGCCCUCUGGGACUUGGUUCGCUUGCUCCUUGGAUUUAGCCCCUUGUUUAAACCCCCACCUUAUAAUCAAGAGGUCUGAUUUCUGCAUUCUGGCCCACCUCCUACCCCAGGUCUUCUACUUUUCAGGUGAAGGAGGAAAAGAACACCUAGGUUUCAUUCCCCAGUCUCGAUUUCUGAGGGAACCCAUUUCUCCUAUCCUAGUGCCCCUCUUUGUAGGACUGGGGGUUGCAGGAUCCAUUGGCGUAAGUACUGCCACUUUUAUCACAGGGGAUCAGAACUUCAAAUUAAUAAGCAAACAAAUUGAUCAGGAUAUAUCAGAAUUAGAAAGGAAUAUUGAUAAACUGUCUGAAUCUGUAAACUCUUUAGCAGAGGUGGUACUUCAGAAUCGGAGGGGCUUAGACCUGUUAUUUUUACAAGGAGGGCUUUGUAUGGCCCUUGGGGAACAGUGCUGUUUUUAUGUCAAUAAUUCAGGAAUCAUCAAGUAGACCUUGAGUCAGGUCAGACAACGAUUAGAGGAAAGAGAAAGAGAAAGACAAAUAAAUCAAAACUGGUAUGAGUCUAUAUUUUCCUGGUCCCCUUGGCUAACAACUCUCCUAAGUGCCCUUGCAGGACCCCUUAUCUUUCUCUUUCUAGCUGUAACUAUAGGACCCUGUUUGAUAAAACUACUACUUCAGUUCAUAAAUCGAAAAAUAGGAUCUAUAAAGCUUAUGGUAUUAUGUAGCCCAUACGUCCCACCAGCUCAUAUGCCAGAAUAAGGUUAUUCAAAGGUUUGAAUAAUUAACAAACAGGAGUGGGGAAUGUAAUAGGUCAACUUAUAUCAGAAAGCUUAUUGUAUAGAAGUUCGGCUUAAACUCCCCUUUCAUGAAUAAUUGAGAUAAAAGCUUAUGUAGUUCCCUAUUAGGGUUAUUGGAAAUUACUAACCGCCCUAUCUUGCUUCUGUAACUUCUCCUGCUUGCUAAAUAGAUAACUUAGGUUGCAAAACGCUCCCCCCACCCCUUCUACCAAGAUCUAGCCUAGUCGAGACCAACAUGUAAAAAGUCAGAACUCACUGCCCCAUGGUAUUGGUUGUUUUAAAAUCCGUUAGGACAAAGAACUUUAAAUUGAUAGGUUCCCAUCAAGACUAAUGUCUGUGUGUCACAGUAUGAUUGGCUACCAUGAAAUGCUGUAAAUUGUAAUUGGUUAACUAAAUAAUGACGUACUCUGACUUGCUAAAAUCCAUAUAAGCUCACUGCUACCUUUGUUUGGGGGCUGUUCUCUGCACUUUUCUCCUUAAGCUCAGGAGAUCAGGUUUGGCCCAGCCGUGAAUAAAAUCUUGCCUUGCUUCUA